UGGAAAACAAUGUGAUUUAUUAGAGGAACGAGCAUUACAAAGUUCAAGUUUUUCUUUAGUAGCAACAGGUAAAUAAAACUUCUUCAAAAUAAAAUUUAAAAUUGUCAAAUGAGGAUACCCAAGUCACAAUGCCAUAGCUGAAAAGUAACUUUUGUGGAGGAAAGAUUGAUGGAUAUUGGUGGUCCGAUUGGCUGAUGCGGCCAUUCAUAUAGUCCUUUGUUAUUCUGUCCUUGCACCAACAACGUCUGAGUAUGCAGGUCUUCACAGGAAAAGUAAAUGAAAAAAAAUUCAACAGAUGUUAGACUGUCUUGACAAAACUUGGCUAUUGAAAUAAGAUUCUUUUUAAUUGGUGGAGCACAUAGGGUGUUAUAAAGCCUAAAAGAAGAAUUAAAUGCUUGUAUCUGAGUUGAACCAGUAUGAGUAUAGAAAUGGUUUUACUAUCACCCAUAGAUAUUUCCUCAUUGCCUGUAUACUCUUCAAGAUUGUCAGGUUCAGGUGUGAUAUGAUGAGUCAUACCAGAAUUCAGAACCCAUGAUCUUUCUGCUGACUGCAAAUUAGAGGCAAAGUUGGCCUUAGCUUCAAAAUGAUUGUGCAAUUUGAAAUGGCAUACAUCUGCAGUAUGAUCAAAUUUUUUGGCACAAUUAGUAUCAAACAAAUUUUCUCGAGUUUUAUCUCCAAUUUUGCUGGUUGUUGGAGCUAGACCGUCAAGUAGUAGAUAGGUUUUAUUAUUGAUUGUUGAAAUGAUAGUUGUUCCUGUUAGACUGGUAUGACAUGUUUGUCUUCUAUGCUAUAAUAACUGUGAUAUUGAAGGAUGGAUUCUCAAGAUCUUGGUGGUUGAGGAAAAGCUCAUGAUAUGUGAGCUUGUGAAGCAAUUCUUCAAAACAUAAUGAAGAGUCUUUUGAUCUUAUAGCGGCAGAGUUUUCACGGUACUCGAUGCCCAGAUCAUUUUCUGUUACUGGUGAUCCAACACUUUUGAGAGCAUCAGAGAGAGAUCGAACCUUUGUAAGUAUUCUAUAACAUAUUUAAAGGCUUUCUUGAUAUUUUGCAAUUGGUUGUGCUAGAUAAAAAUGCGAAUGUGGCCCUUAUUUGUGUAAGUCGUGUGAAGAAGUUCUCAGGCGGUCUUAGUAGAUGGAGUUGUGACAACAGUUGGCACAUUGGUGGGAUAAACAGAUGCCAUUAUUGCUUGCUGGAUCAGCUGGUCCUGAGAGAAUCAGACCUGGUAUCUAGGAUUUGGCAUCAUAAGGUUAUCUUGGGUAACUGACAUGACCCGAACCAGGGUCUGGUUGUGUCAGGUAUCUCAAGUUCAACCAGGACUGGAGACCACCCCCAAUACCCAACCUUUGACCUUCUGACACCUCAUGUUGGAUGAACUCUUAACAUAUAACAAGAUAAGAGAAUAUCAAACUAAAAACAUUAUGAUAAGUUUAUGACCAAAACCAACCACCAACAACUAAUCAAAUAACCAAUAUCAAUACUGAUACCGAUAUAGACACCGAUACCACCCAUGUCUAUAAUAGUCCAACAAAACCUCUAAUCAAAACCAAAGAAUAUCUAGUCGGAUCACGCCCCCGACCAUAGACAAAACUAAAACAAAAAAAAAAUAGUAAAGACAUAAGGAAAUCCACAACAUGAAAUGGGGUCUUCCAAAGUAUAGAAGCUCACCACUUCAGUUUGACUAACGAGCUGAUCCUGGAUCCUAAUAAAUGUGCAGAAGAAAUAGAAGUAUGACCCGUUCUUGCAUUGCGUGGGAGUACAAUGUCUGAAGACGGUUAAUGAUGUGAACCUCAACAUGAAACUUCGGGAUAAAGAUAAAGUAAUGCCAUCAAUCCAGAACCAAAUCUACCAAGCACAUAACCAUAUGCAAAUACACACACACAUACAUAUAUAUACAUAAAAAAAAUUGAGAUAGGGAACAAGAUUUAGCAUGCAUUUUAAUACCUUAACCUGGGUUGUGUAGCUUUACCGUCCUAAGUCCACCCAUGGGCUAUAUGGGUAUAGUGUUACCCUAUGAACGGGCCCUAGUGCAUCUUAGCCGCAUGAAUCGAAGAUAUUAUAGAUGAUCGGGGAUUUUCUUGUACACUUCGCCCUCCAUGAUACAUAUAUACGAAUAUACACUUGGGGAUUUCCUUGUAUCCCUACAAAUACAUGGUCAUUAAGACCAACCCUCAUGUCGACAAACAUGAGUUUUUAGUGUCCGUCCUUUGGACUCACAUCUUCACGACUAACUAUCACAACUCCCAUUAUUGCCCAAUUAAAAUAUUUAACACAUAACCAAACCACCAGUUCUAGGAGUCAAUUAUUAAGGCAUUAUUAACAGUGGCGGAGCCAAGAAUUUAGCAAAGGGUGUGAAAAUUUUCUUCCCAGUUAUGUUAAGGGUGUGCAAAAUCAAAUAUUUACUCAUAAUAGCUAACAUUUAACCUUUGUAGACCACGUAAUUACUCGACGAAGGGUGUUCAUCUGACCAUCCUUCGUUUAAGGUGGCUCCGCCCAUGAUUAUUAAGUGGUAUCGUCAUCCCAACCAUAGCUUGGAAGAAAUUUCAUUAGCUAACACUUAGGGGAAUCCCAUGUAACCCAUAGACUCUAUUGUUAAAAUCACUUGGGGAGGUUCCCGUGUACCCCACAAGGUUUUCAAAACUAUCUUCAACAAAUUAACCAUUUAUGCUAUGCAUUAGUUUCAAGAAAUAAAUCAAACCAAGUAAUAAUGCAUAAACUAAAAUCAAGUAUGCAAGUGGUUUGAGGUUGUACCAAUUUCCAUACCAAACCAAUUAAUUUGGAGAUAUAUUUGUACCCCUAUUUCCAUCCACCAUUUUCAUGCACUUCAAUGCAUUUACCAACUAUCAAUUUAAGCACAAUAGUUUCAUAGAUAUCAUGAAAAAACAUUUUAAACAAUUUAUAUUAAAAAUUCUCAGCCCAUAGUUCAAAACCCAACAUCAAUAUCUUAUGAACAAUACUUUAAAUCACAUGCUUUAACAAAAUUGACAAUGAGGGAAGAGUAAUAUGCCUGAAAUAUCAAAAAAUUUGGAAAAGAAGGCACCCUUAGAACCCUGGAUGACCUCUUUCUGUGAAACCCUAGCCUUAACUUAAACAGAGUGCCCUCACUUAAAACCUAAAAAGUGUCGCCUUUGACAAUCAGUUAACCAUCGACUCGUUACCACACCUUAUGACUUAUCACCACGAGUCGUAACCAAGACAGUGACUUGGACCCCCAUACACUGUCCACCUUACGACUCAGGACUAGAACUUGUAUCAAGACUUUACAACUCGUAGGGUCUUAGUCGUAAGCAACACAGAACCCAAAUGGGUCCAAUACUGGACACCCUAUGAUUGGAUCCUACGACUUGUAACAUGUCCUUAUGGCUGUUUGUGAGCCACUCGUAUUCAGAGCAGAAUCAAUCCACAAACUUACUAUUUGGUUAUGACUCGUCAGGACACCCUACGACUCAUAGGUUUCAGUCGUAAUCAGGGCAAUGAGCUCAGAGCUUAAGGAAUUUCAAGGGCCAAAAUUCGAAGUGACUCAUUGGUAGUGCCGAUUUUGAUCCGUCAAGAUGUCCCAUGAAUUAAUGGUCAUUGAUUAGCAUCACAAGUUAUGCUUUCCAAGUCGAGCAGUUGAGGUUACCUUGUAAUUUGAUAGAUAAUUGAGACGCGGGAUUGAAUUGUACCACAUGAACAAUAGGUGAAACAGUAGAACUGUUAUUAGUAGUAGUAGCAUCACCAGAGUUAAUAAUAAUUGGAGGGGUUGUUUCUGGAGAUAUAGCCAUGGAUGGGGAGAGAAAAGGAUCUAAAACGUAAGAGGCUAGAGAUGCUGAUACCAUAUAAAAUCAGAUAGAGAGAAGUAGUCGAAAGAUGAUUUUUUUCCUUAAGAAUCCAAGAUUUAAAUACAAUAAAUAACAACCUACAACCAAACUUAAGGAAGCUAAUUAUUACAUAUACUCCUAAACAGUUGGAGUCUUCUACAGAUAUACAACAACAGUAAACUUCUACAAUAGGAGGAGUUUUCUACAGAUAUAAAAAAUAGUAACUAUAACAGUAAUUUAUUCUAAUAAUGAUAAUAUAAAAUACUUACGUUUAACAAUGGCAAAGGACAAAUUGGCGUAACGAAGCCCUUGAUAGCUUCCACGAGAGAAAAACACAAGCAAGAAAGUAAAGAGAAAACUAAUGCUUGAAGAACAAGUAAAGAGUGCAUUGUAUUACUUAACGUCUAAUUUCAAAUAAUUAAGUAAAG
rnacentral:lncRNA from 1 species